AAUAUUUUUUGUAUGAAAUUAAACUAAGGAAACCUUUGGUUCAGGGUGUAUAUAAACCAAUUCGCGAACCGAACCAAUGUCGUCCUCUAUGGUUCGAACCGCCGAACCGAACCUUUAACAAAACUUUGGAGGUUUGCAGCCUUGAUUUAAAUCUAAUAUUAAUGGAACUUAUCUGAAGUAUCUUAUCUGAAGACGGAAACUGCUACUCAAAACCUGCUAAGUGAUAUGUCUAAUGCUCUGGGUCAACUAGCUUAUUAUUAUGUGAAACCUCAGCCCAGUAAUCUGAUUGGGGAUGCUUUGGGUGAUAUGGGAAAUGCUCUCGGGGAUUUGGCUGUGAGUUAUGCCUUGAUAAAUUUAGCUUUAAACUUAUCAAUAUUUUUUUUCAGUCUUUCGACUUCGGGAGCUGCAGUCAUUGGUGAACUGGGUUCGAUUAGCAGCAAAACAAUUGCAACUGCUGUCAAAAUGGCUGCUCCCUACAUAAAAGAAAUGAAUGCUGUUCUGGGAGAUCUGGCUAAUGGCAUCACCCAUCUAUAGAUGAACUAGAAAUACUUUUCGUAAAUAAAUGCACGUAUUUUUACCAUCCGUUUAUGAGCUAAGCACUUGAUCUCCUUUGUUCGUUUUGUUCAUUUCAAUUAAGGUAUAUAUAUUGAGUGUGGCAUUCUGGAAAAAAAAAGUCAUCGCGUCGGCGUGUUAUGGUCCCAUAUAUUAUUAAUUAAUGACAUUAGCUAUAAAUACGACAAAAUAACAAAUUAAAUUAAAUUACCUGCUGACUCUGGACUCGGUCAACUACUAUUUGCCAGCAAUCGCGUCCGAAAUAGUGGCAAACAAAUGGUGGAAGUCGCGUUGUCGCAUUGGGAACCGGUUCAAAGACGUCUCUAUGUUAGUGGUCAAGGUCUAAGGAGCAGGAUACAAAUGACAAGCAGCCAGACGGACAGCAGAAUGCAGUCAAAGCGGAAUAAACAAUAACAUUACACAGAGCAGCUGAAGCAAUGCAGUAUAACUUGUAAAUGCAAAAAGUAGACUCAGAAAUAAAAAACAUUGCAUAAACACUGAAA